UAGUAACAUUGAUUCCCCUUGCUAGGUUAC
rnacentral:piRNA from 1 species